rnacentral:rRNA from 1 species
UGAAACCAGAUAUGACUUAGUGGCGGACGGGUGAGUAACACGUGAGCAACCUGCCUUUCAGAGGGGGAUAACGGCUGGAAACGGUCGCUAAUACCGCAUGACGUGUUCGGAUGGCAUCAUCUGAACAUCAAAGAUUUAUCGCUUCAAGAUGGCCUCGCGUCUGAUUAGCUAGUUGGCGGGGUAACGGCCCACCAAGGCGACGAUCAGUAGCCGACCUGAGAGGGUGAUCGGCCACAUUGGGACUGAGACACGGCCCAAACUCC